ACUCCUUCUAAAGCUAAAUAUCACCACGAGACCGAUAGCGAACAAGUACCGUGAGGGAAAGUUGAAAAGCACUCUGAAUAGAGAGUCAAAAAGUACGUGAAACUGCCUAGGGCACAAGCCCGUUGAACUCGAUUAUCCGAGCGGAGACAUUCACCUGCGGUUGGCCCGUCGUCGUCGGUUUCGCCGCCGGCGGGCCCCGCCGCAGGGCACUUGUCUACCGCGUUCCAAGAGGACACUGCGAUCCAUUACGAAACAGCUUUCGCGUCGCGAGACGCAAGGUCGCCCGACAGUUGCCCCCUGGUGCCGGUUGGUUGUCCCACAGUAGCGACGCUCAGUUCCGAAGGCCUGUGCCGCGAGGUGGGGCUUACUGCACGUGGUGCUCUGCAGUCGGGCGCGUGAUGGAUUCCCGCGCACACCGGCGGUCUUCCCGUACAGGGCCGCCGGACUGUCGAUCGGCAGUGAAAGAAUCGAGGUACCUUCGGGACCCGUCUUGAAACACGGACCAAGAAGUCUAUCUUGCGCGCAAGCCAAUGGUCGUCCUCCGGAGCACCAAAGGCGCAGAAAACAUAACUUGACAUUUAUGCGGGAUUACGGGCGCGGCUCUCUGCUCGUCCCUCCAUCCCCGGGUGUUGUAACCGGCAUGCGGCCACCGGUUAGCCCCUCACCGGGCGCCGGCACCGUGCCACAACAUACCGCGAGUGUGCAGGAUGUGACCCGAAAGAUGGUGAACUAUGCCUGAUCAGGUUGAAGUCAGGGGAAACCCUGAUGGAGGACCGAAGCAGUUCUGACGU
rnacentral:rRNA from 1 species